ACAUGCAAGUCGAACGGUAACAGGAAGAAGCUUGCUGCUUCGCUGACGAGUGGCGGACGGGUGAGUAAUGUCUGGGAAACUGCCUGAUGGAGGGGGAUAACUACUGGAAACGGUAGCUAAUACCGCAUAACGUCGCAAGACCAAAGAGGGGGACCUUCGGGCCUCUUGCCAUCGGAUGUGCCCAGAUGGGAUUAGCUAGUAGGUGGGGUAACGGCUCACCUAGGCGACGAUCCCUAGCUGGUCUGAGAGGAUGACCAGCCACACUGGAACUGAGACACGGUCCAGACUCCUACGGGAGGCAGCAGUGGGGAAUAUUGCACAAUGGGCGCAAGCCUGAUGCAGCCAUGCCGCGUGUAUGAAGAAGGCCUUCGGGUUGUAAAGUACUUUCAGCGGGGAGGAAGGGAGUAAAGUUAAUACCUUUGCUCAUUGACGUUACCCGCAGAAGAAGCACCGGCUAACUCCGUGCCAGCAGCCGCGGUAAUACGGAGGGUGCAAGCGUUAAUCGGAAUUACUGGGCGUAAAGCGCACGCAGGCGGUUUGUUAAGUCAGAUGUGAAAUCCCCGGGCUCAACCUGGGAACUGCAUCUGAUACUGGCAAGCUUGAGUCUCGUAGAGGGGGGUAGAAUUCCAGGUGUAGCGGUGAAAUGCGUAGAGAUCUGGAGGAAUACCGGUGGCGAAGGCGGCCCCCUGGACGAAGACUGACGCUCAGGUGCGAAAGCGUGGGGAGCAAACAGGAUUAGAUACCCUGGUAGUCCACGCCGUAAACGAUGUCGACUUGGAGGUUGUGCCCUUGAGGCGUGGCUUCCGGAGCUAACGCGUUAAGUCGACCGCCUGGGGAGUACGGCCGCAAGGUUAAAACUCAAAUGAAUUGACGGGGGCCCGCACAAGCGGUGGAGCAUGUGGUUUAAUUCGAUGCAACGCGAAGAACCUUACCUGGUCUUGACAUCCACAGAACUUUCCAGAGAUGGAUUGGUGCCUUCGGGAACUGUGAGACAGGUGCUGCAUGGCUGUCGUCAGCUCGUGUUGUGAAAUGUUGGGUUAAGUCCCGCAACGAGCGCAACCCUUAUCCUUUGUUGCCAGCGGUCCGGCCGGGAACUCAAAGGAGACUGCCAGUGAUAAACUGGAGGAAAGGUGGGGAUGACGUCAAGUCAUCAUGG
rnacentral:rRNA from 1 species